rnacentral:rRNA from 1 species
UACAGAGGUCCCAAGCGUUGUUCGGAUUCACUGGGCGUAAAGGGUGCGUAGGUGGUGAGGUAAGUCGGAUGUGAAACCUCCGAGCUCAACUCGGAAAUGGCAUUAGAAACUACCUUGCUAGAGGGUUGGAGGGGGGGACUGGAAUACUUGGUGUAGCAGUGAAAUGCGUAGAUAUCAAGUGGAACACCAGUGGCGAAGGCGAGUCCCUGGACAAUUGCUGACGCUCAGGCACGAAAGCGUGGGGAGCAAACAGG